rnacentral:rRNA from 1 species
GACGAACGCUGGCGGCGUGCUUAACACAUGCAAGUCGAACGGAAAGGCCCUGCUUUUGUGGGGUGCUCGAGUGGCGAACGGGUGAGUAACACGUGAGUAACCUGCCCUUGACUUUGGGAUAACUUCAGGAAACUGGGGCUAAUACCGGAUAGGAGCUCCUGCUGCAUGGUGGGGGUUGGAAAGUUUCGGCGGUUGGGGAUGGACUCGCGGCUUAUCAGCUUGUUGGUGGGGUAGUGGCUUACCAAGGCUUUGACGGGUAGCCGGCCUGGGAGGGUGGCCGGCCACAUGGGGCCUGAGGUACGGCCCAGACUCCUACGGGAGGCAGCAGUGGGGAAUAUUGCACAAUGGGCGGAAGCCUGAUGCAGCAACGCCGCGUGCGGGAUGACGGCCUUCGGGUUGUAAACCGCUUUCGCCUGUGACGAAGCGUGAGUGACGGUAAUGGGUAAAGAAGCACCGGCUAACUACGUG